GACGAACGCUGGCGGCGUGCUUAAUACAUGCAAGUCGAGCGAAGCGGCGGCUGGGUGAGUAACGCGUGGGUAAUCUGACCUUAAGUCUGGGAUACCACUUGGACACAGAUGCUAAUACCGGAUACAUAAGGAUGGACCUGCGAUGCGUUAGUUAGUUGGUAAGGGGACGGCUUGCCAAGGCGAUGAUGCAUUGCCGAGUUGCAGGACUGAUCGGCCACAUUGGUACUGAGGCACUGCCCAAACUCCUACGCGAGGCAGCGGUAGGGAAUCUUCCACAAUGGACGAAAGUCUGAUGGCGCGACGCCGCGUGAGUGAAGAGGGUUUUCGGAUCUUAGAGCUCUGUUGUUGGUGAAGCGGUAAUCAACCAGAAAGUCACGGCUAACUACGUGCCAGCAGCCGCGGUAAUAC
rnacentral:rRNA from 1 species